rnacentral:lncRNA from 1 species
GAGGCAGGCAGCGAGACGGGCGCGCCAUUUGCAUUCGCCCGCAGUCAUUUUUAUCCGCGGAGGAUUUCAAAGCCUCAGACAGAUUCACCAGUAGAAGCGGCUGAGAAAAGGCGGCUCGGCAGGUUCAGCGCUGCCAGGAGAGGAGGCGCAGGCUAGACAGACCCCUGCUUUGAGACAGGAAUUGUGUUGGAGAGCUUCAUUACCUACCACUGCACCCACCAAGACACUGUACUUCAUGGAAUGAACCAUGGUCUUCGAAGGGCAAUUUUGUUGGAUGGUAGGUGAAGUCAAAGUUUGUGGGAAUUUCAUUUC